CGAGGAAGGGAGCUGACUAUCACUUAGCGGCGGACGAGGUGAGUAAUGCUGUAGGAAUCUGCCUAUUACAUGGGGGACAACAUCUCGAAAGGGAUGCUAAUACCGCAUACGUCCUACGGGAGAAAGCAGGGGAUCACUUGUGACCUUGCGCUAAUAGAUGAGCCUAAGUCGGAUUAGCUAGUUGGUGGGGUAAAGGCCUACCAAGGCGACGAUCUGUAGCGGGUCUGAGAGGAUGAUCCGCCACACUGGGACUGAGACACGGCCCAGACUCCUACGGGAGGCAGCAGUGGGGAAUAUUGGACAAUGGGGGGAACCCUGAUCCAGCCAUGCCGCGUGUGUGAAGAAGGCCUUAUGGUUGUAAAGCACUUUAAGCGAGGAGGAGGCUUUUUUGGUUAAUACCCGGGAUGAGUGGACGUUACUCGCAGAAUAAGCACCGGCUAACUCUGUGCCAGCAGCCGCGGUAAUACAGAGGGUGCAAGCGUUAAUCGGAUUUACUGGGCGUAAAGCGCGCGUAGGCGGCCAAUUAAGUCAAAUGUGAAAUCCCCGAGCUUAACUUGGGAAUUGCAUUCGAUACUGGUUGGCUAGAGUGUGGGAGAGGAUGGUAGAAUUCCAGGUGUAGCGGUGAAAUGCGUAGAGAUCUGGAGGAAUACCGAUGGCGAAGGCAGCCAUCUGGCCUAACACUGACGCUGAGGUGCGAAAGCAUGGGGAGCAAACAGGAUUAGAUACCCUGGUAGUCCAUGCCGUAACGAUGUCUACUAGCCGUUGGGGCCUUUGAGGCUUUAGUGGCGCAGCUAACGCGAUAAGUAGACCGCCUGGGGGAGUACGGUCGCAAGACUAAAACUCAAAUGAAAUUGACUGGGGGCCCGCACAAGCGGGUGGGAAGCCAC
rnacentral:rRNA from 1 species